rnacentral:rRNA from 1 species
CCCUUAGAUGUUCUGGGCUGCACGCGCGCUACACUGGUGCGUUCAGCGAGUUUAGCACCUUAACAGAUAUGUUUGGGUAAUCUUCUGAAAACGCACCGUGAUGGGGAUCGAUUAUUGUAAUUAUUAAUCGUCAACGAGGAAUUCCUAGUAAGUGUGAAUCAUCAGUUCGCGCUGAUUACGUCCCUGCCCUUUGUACACACCGCCCGUCGCUGCUACCGAUUGAGUGGUCCGGUGAAUUAUUCGGACCGGUGGACUGUGGGGAAACCCGUGGCCUGCUGGGAAGUCUUGUGAACCUUAUCACUUAGAGGAAGCAGAAGUCGUAACA